CCGCCCCCCACCUCCUUUCCCAGCCUUUGAGGGAUGGACCGGAGACAAUGCUGGUAUUGAGCUGCCCGCAGUGUGAAUACUCGGCCUGUCCUCCCCGACUGCCAGCACCCGCAGCUGAGCCCCCAGCCCGGCAGCAACAGCGUUGCCCACCCGGGAACGCUCCCGCAGCUCGCAUACUAUCGCCACUACCGUCGCAAGAGAAGGGAGAUUAAAUUAAUGGAGAGGAAUAAGCGGAAUGCAUCCAGUUGCUUUCUGAACCCCUAGAAACUGGCCCCUGCAGCCUUGGUAUGGAAAGGCCAUGCUGUCUGAGACUGAACAUGGAUGGCACCAGAGAGGGUGAGCAAUGAGAAGGAGCUAAGGGGUGUUUCCAAACUACUGCAAAGAGCAAUUUCACCUGACAUGGGUACUGCUCUGAAGAAGGCCAUGCUGCUGACAGACUAGCAGCCACCACACUAGGGAAAUGGACAGCACAAGGGACACAGAGAUGCUACCAGGCUGCUGG